rnacentral:misc_RNA from 1 species
AAGUCGUAACAAGGUUUCCGCAGGUGAACCUGCGGAAGGAUCAUUAACACGUAUCCAAACGUUAAAACCCCCCCCGUGAACCUUCAUCCUGCUCUUGUAACCCGCGUAGUUCGCAAUCUCUGAUAAAUCAUAGCCCGGAAAGUUGUAGUGAUUCAGAGACCUCUGGCUACGUGCGAACAUUGGAACAGUUACGUUAACAGUUGUUCGGUUUUUUUACCCAAUGUAUUACAUUGAGCUUCACAUUAAACUGUGGGGUUAUUAGGGGGCAUGGGGACCCUUUGGCAAAGCUCCUGCCCGAGUGUACGGUCUACAGGAAUCGUAGAAGCGCUAUCCUUGCACAAUCAAUGACACUUUCCGACACUGACCGCUUGGAGAAACAUUGCCUAUAGAACUACCGCUCGAUUAAUGGAUAUCUUGGUUCUC